UUGCAACACACCUGAAUCGUC
rnacentral:miRNA from 1 species